ensembl:lncRNA
UUCUCCCUGACAUUCUGGUUGGAGCUGAGCAGAGCCAUCACCAGGAGGCACUGUGGCACCAACAAUGCAAAAUGCUGGUUGGGUUUAUGGUGUUGAUCAUUAUUCACUGCUAAGUCUUCUGGAGCUGUGGAAGUGUCCAUUCAGAGGAGAGAAGCAAGAACACAUUGAUCUUAUUUGGACAGGCUUUUGUCUGGGACACAUCCAAACCCAAACAGCCAGGGGACGGACCACAAAAGGGUGUUACAUCCGGCAGGAGUGGCCAGGUGCAUCUGUGGCUCCUUACAAUCAGCAGAGAUGGUUAAAAGCUGAGCCAACAUGAUCAUCGUCGCCAGCAGUGGCUCAGAUCAGCUGCUAGUGUGCUGUGUUGGUGUCUCGUCUAAACCCAGGAGUGUGGUGCUUAAAGGACUUUGUGACAGUGGGAUCAGCUUGUGUUUAAGAAGCUCGCUUUGUGUUGGAUUUUGGUUUUGUUACUUUUUUGUAAAUAAACAAUUUCUUUGUUACAUGAUCAGUUUGAAAACUCUCAGGAUCUUGUUCACGAGUGAUGGGAAAACGGAGCGAGUCCGUGGACACUUCCUUUGGAGGUUUUCCAAGCACAUCCACCUAGGAGGAGACCCCAGGGUAGACCCAGAACCUGCUGGAGGGAUUAUGUAUCUCGUCUGGCCUGGGAACGCCUCUGGAUUAUCCAGGAAGAGCUGGAAAGCGUUGCCGGAGGGAAGGACGUCUGGAAUGACCUGCUUCAUCUGCUGCCUCUAUCGUUUACCUAUCUGAACCUCACUGUAAUGCUCUUCAUGUUUUAUGUAAAGCACUUUGAAUUGUCUUGGACAUGAAGGGUGCUCUACAAAUAAACUUGCCUUGCCUUGCCUCCACGACCCGACCCCGGAUAAGUGGAAGAAAAUGGAUGAAUGGAUGGAUGGAUAGAUGAUCAAUUUUCCUGCCUCUUUACCGGGUUUUUCUUUAUAUUUGUUACUCUCCUCAUCCCCUAGUUCCUGGGGACGUAACAGAUGUAUAG